AAACGCUUGAAGUCAGUCGCGUUGGCCAGGGAUCAACCUUGCUUUUUUUUGCUUGGCUUAUUUCCUGGUCAAUGGGUCAGCAUCAAUUUUGACUGAUGGAAAAAGUUCAAGGGAAUGUGGCAUCCAUUGGAUGUGUUAUAACCUUUGUUCGCAUACAUU
rnacentral:rRNA from 1 species